rnacentral:lncRNA from 1 species
GCGCUUGAUGGAGGGCCUAGAGGAAUGACCAUGUAUGCUGCGCUUCCGCAGACGUGCGUGCGCACUUGACGUACGUCACUUUUGGUGGUGGUGCUUGUCCAACGUCGUCUAAUGUCGGUCGUGCUUGUCUAACGUCAGCGAGAGCUUCACUGUACAUCCUCUUCCACAGGGUGGAAUUGACGUAGACUUUUUUAGAUU